rnacentral:rRNA from 1 species
CGAACGCUGGCGGCGUGCCUAAUACAUGCAAGUCGAACGCGCUCCAUUCGGUAGCAAUACUGAUGAAGAGCGAGUGGCGAACGGGUGAGUAGCACGUGAGCAACCUGCCCCGAAGACUGGGACAACACCGGGAAACCGGUGCUAAUACCGGAUAUCCCUAUCGGACCGCAUGAUCUGAUAAGGAAAUGGAUUCCGCUUCGGGAGGGGCUCGCGGCCUAUCAGCUUGUUGGUGGGGUAAUGGCCUACCAAGGCAUCGACGGGUAGCUGGUCUGAGAGGACGAUCAGCCACACUGGGACUGAGACACGGCCCAGACUCCUACGGGAGGCAGCAGUAGGGAAUCUUGCGCAAUGGGCGAAAGCCUGACGCAGCAACGCCGCGUGGAGGACGAAGGCUUUCUGAGUUGUAAACUCCUUUCAGCAGGGACGAUAGUGACGGUACCUGCAGAAGAAGCACCGGCCAACUACGUGCCAGCAGCCGCGGUGAUACGUAUGGUGCAAGCGUUGUCCGGAUUUAUUGGGCGUAAAGGGCUCGUANGCGGUUUGAUA